CAAGUCGAGCGGAGAGAGGUAGCUUGCUACCGAUCUUAGCGGCGGACGGGUGAGUAAUGCUUAGGAAUCUGCCUAUUAGUGGGGGACAACAUUUCGAAAGGAAUGCUAAUACCGCAUACGUCCUACGGGAGAAAGCAGGGGAUCUUCGGACCUUGCGCUAAUAGAUGAGCCUAAGUCGGAUUAGCUAGUUGGUGGGGUAAAGGCCUACCAAGGCGACGAUCUGUAGCGGGUCUGAGAGGAUGAUCCGCCACACUGGGACUGAGACACGGCCCAGACUCCUACGGGAGGCAGCAGUGGGGAAUAUUGGACAAUGGGCGGAAGCCUGAUCCAGCCAUGCCGCGUGUGUGAAGAAGGCCUUAUGGUUGUAAAGCACUUUAAGCGAGGAGGAGGCUACUUUAGUUAAUACCUAGAGAUAGUGGACGUUACUCGCAGAAUAAGCACCGGCUAACUCUGUGCCAGCAGCCGCGGUAAUACAGAGGGUGCAAGCGUUAAUCGGAUUUACUGGGCGUAAAGCGCGCGUAGGCGGCUAAUUAAGUCAAAUGUGAAAUCCCCGAGCUUAACUUGGGAAUUGCAUUCGAUACUGGUUAGCUAGAGUGUGGGAGAGGAUGGUAGAAUUCCAGGUGUAGCGGUGAAAUGCGUAGAGAUCUGGAGGAAUACCGAUGGCGAAGGCAGCCAUCUGGCCUAACACUGACGCUGAGGUGCGAAAGCAUGGGGAGCAAACAGGAUUAGAUACCCUGGUAGUCCAUGCCGUAAACGAUGUCUACUAGCCGUUGGGGCCUUUGAGGCUUUAGUGGCGCAGCUAACGCGAUAAGUAGACCGCCUGGGGAGUACGGUCGCAAGACUAAAACUCAAA
rnacentral:rRNA from 1 species